rnacentral:rRNA from 1 species
AUUGAACGCUGGCGGAAUGCUUUACACAUGCAAGUCGAGCGGCAGCACGGGGGCAACCCUGGUGGCGAGCGGCGAACGGGUGAGUAAUACAUCGGAACAUGCCCAGUCGUGGGGGAUAACACUUCGAAAGAAGUGCGAAGACCGCAUACGUCCGGAGGGCGAAAGCGGGGGAACUUCGGAACUCGAGCGACUGGAGUGGGCGAUGUUAGAUUAGCUAGUUGGUGGGGUAAAGGCCUACCAAGGCAACGUACUGUAGCUGGUCUGAGAGGAUGAUCAGCCACACUGGGACUGAGACACGGCCCAGACUCCUACGGGAGGCAGCAGUGGGGAAUUUUGGACAAUGGGGGCAACCCUGAUCUAGCCAUUCCGCGUGAGUGAAGAAGGCCUUCGGGUUGUAAAGCUCUUUCGGCAGGAACGAAACGGCGAGCUCUAACAUAGCGUGCUAAUGGCGGUACCUGAAGAAGAAGCACCGGCUAACUACGUGCCAGCAGCCGCGGUAAAAC